UGUAGGAGCCGGCUUGCUGGCGAUUGCGUUGUGUCAGUCGACAUUGAUGGCGACUGACAUUUUGCUAUCGCCAGCAAGCCGGCUCCUACA
rnacentral:misc_RNA from 1 species